GUGCGAAGGUAGCAUAAUCACUUGUUCUUUAAAUGAGGACUCGUAUCAACGGCACUACGAGGGCUAUACUGUCUCCUUUUUCUAAUCAGUGAAACUGAUCUCCCCGUGAAGAAGCGGGGAUCAAAAUAUAAGACGAGAAGACCCCAUGGAGCUUUAAACUCAUCACGCACCUCUGUGCCCUCAUACCCUUAAACACAAGAGAUCUACGUGCUAGUUUUAGGUUGGGGGGACCACGGAGUAUAACUUAACCUCCAUAACAAAUGGGCUAACACCCUUAUCCAUGAGACACAGCUCUAAGAAUUACUAAACUAAUGCUUAUGACCCGAUAUUCGAUCAAUGAACCAAGUUACCCUGGGGAUAACAGCGCAAUCUACUUCAAGAGCCCAUAUCGACAAGUAGGUUUACGACCUCGAUGUUGGAUCAGGGUAU
rnacentral:rRNA from 1 species